rnacentral:rRNA from 1 species
GACUACAGGGGUAUCUAAUCCUGUUUGCUCCCCACGCUUUCGUCCAUGAGAGUCAGUUGCCGUCCAGUAAGCUGCCUUCGCUUUUGGUGUUCUUCCAGAUAUCUAAGCAUUCCACCGCUACACCUGGAAUUCCGCUUACCUCUCCGGUACUCCAGCCGAUCAGUCUUCAAGGCAGUUCCGAAGUUGAGCUUCGGAAUUUCACCUCAAACUUGAUCGACCUCCUACGGACCCUUUACGCCCAAUAAAUCCGAACAACGCUCGCCACCUACGUAUUACCGCGGCUGCUGGCACGUAGUUAGCCGUGGCUUCCUUUGAUGCUACCGUCAUUUAUUCGUCACAUCUGACAGCCGUUUACGAUCCGAAGACCUUCAUCCGGCACGCGGCAUUGCUCCGUCACGCUUUCGCGCAUUGCGGAAGAUUCUCGACUGCAGCCCCCCGUAGG